rnacentral:rRNA from 1 species
UUCCGGUUGAUCCCGCCGGACCUGACUGCUAUCGGAUUGAUACUAAGCCAUGCGAGUCAUUGUAGCAAUACAAGGCAGACGGCUCAGUAACGCGUAGUCAACCUAACCUAUGGACGGGAAUAACCUCGGGAAACUGAGAAUAAUGCCCGAUAGAACACUAUACCUGGAAUGGUUUGUGUUCCAAAUGAUUUAUCGCCGUAGGAUGGGACUGCGGCCUAUCAGUUUGUUGGUGAGGUAAUGGCCCACCAAGACUAUUACAGGUACGGGCUCUGAGAGGAGUAGCCCGGAGAUGGGUACUGAGACACGGACCCAGGCCCUAUGGGGCGCAGCAGGCGAGAAAACUUUGCAAUGUGCGAAAGCACGACAAGGUUAAUCCGAGUGGUUUCUGCUAAAGGAACCUUUUGUUAGUCCUAGAAACACUAACGAAUAAGGGGUGGGCAAGUUCUGGUGUCAGCCGCCGCGGUAAAACCAGCACCUCAAGUGGUCAGGAUGAUUAUUGGGCCUAAAGCAUCCGUAGCCGGCUCUGUAAGUUUUCGGUUAAAUCUGUACGCUCAACGUACAGGCUGCCGGGAAUACUGCAGAGCUAGGGAGUGGGAGAGGUAGACGGUACUCGGUAGGAAGUGGUAAAAUGCUUUGAUCUAUCGAUGACCACCUGUGGCGAAGGCGGUCUACCAGAACACGUCCGACGGUGAGGGAUGAAAGCUGGGGGAGCAAACCGGAUUAGAUACCCGGGUAGUCCCAGCUGUAAACUAUGCAAACUCAAUGAUGCAUUGGCUUGAUGCUAAUGCAGUGUUGCAGGGAAGCCGUUAAGUUUGCCGCCUGGGAAGUACGUACGCAAGUAUGAAACUUAAAGGAAUUGGCGGGGGAGCACCACAAGGGGUGAAGCCUGCGGUUCAAUUGGAUUCAACGCCGGG